UACAGAGGUCUCAAGCGUUGUUCGGAUUCAUUGGGCGUAAAGGGUGCGUAGGUGGUCUGUCAAGUCGGGGGUGAAAUCUUUCGGCUCAACCGGAAAACUGCCUUCGAUACUGACAGACUAGAGGGAGGUAGGGGUUGCGGGAACUACCAGUGGAGCGGUGAAAUGCGUUGAUAUUGGUAGGAACGCCGGUGGCGAAGGCGACUCACUGGGUCUUUACUGACGCUGAUGCACGAAAGCUAGGGUAGCAAACGGG
rnacentral:rRNA from 1 species